GCGGGCAAGGGGCUAAGGGGAGGGGGGCCCAGUGCCAGCCGUUUAAAAAUGCCCCGUGGCGGUAAGGGGUGCCAGAGGCCCGGUCAAGUUAGUUGAGAAGCAGUGACGCCCCCAACCGUCCCCUAAAUGGGCUGCCCCCCGUGUCUGGGCCACAAGGAGCCACACCUGGACCAGACCCCAGGAGAGGCAAGGGCACUGGCCGGUGGGAGCCACUCUUGCAACGCUGACAUUGGACGAGCAAGCACCCCAGAGAGGGCCUCCUGAGGACCAGAGAGGAGGGCAGGCGGCAGAGGCCCUGAAAACAGAGCUCCUCCCCGGAGCUUCCCAAGAAGACAGAGGCUCCCCCGGGCUGGGCUUGGCGACAUUUCCUGAAGACAGUAGGGAGCAGUGAGGGGAAACUGGCCCGUUUCUGGGAGCAACGCCGCAGACUGCCAACAGCCGGCACCAGGUAAGAAUCCGCCCGCUGUGAGUCUAAGGCCACCUGCUCAAGUGUCUCCUUGGACACAGGGGAAAGGGAGCCACAGAGAGGGGAAGCACGUGGGAUAAGUGACCACACCGGUAGAACUCAGGUCUCCCAAGUGGCCCGCUGUCUCCUGACUGGGGACCGAGAGUAAGAAGGAGCCUCUGGUGGGGUAAGUGGAAUAGGAGGGCUGUCGACCUCCUUCUCAUCUGAAGGAGACCAGGGGUCAGGGCCAGCACUGUCUGCCUGCUGGACAAGUAAGAGAGACUCAAGGGAAGAGUUCUUGGGCAAGAGGACACGCUUCCUGCAUCUCUGCCCCUCCUCCCAGCCCACCACCUCCUCCUCCAGGAAGUCCUCCCAGCUUUCCCCCUGGGGCGGGAACCUCUUUGUCCUCUAAGACCUUGGCAGUCCUUUCUUAGGCUCUCCCUGGCGCCACUUGGAUCUGUGCCCUAUUCACCUUGCCAGGGACAUUCUUCUUCCAUUUCAGCCUGACUGCACUCCUCCAGGGCAAGGACAUCAGUCCCACCUCCCCUCGGCACAUAGAAGUCACCCUAGGCUUGCUGGAUGGUGAGGUGAAAUGGUGAGACCCUGUCUCAAACCCAAAGGAUUGGUAAAUUGGCCAGGGGAGGAGACAUUCGGCAUAGAGGUUAAGACGAGGGAGCCGGGGUUGGCUGUUCUGAGUUAGGAACCCAGCUCAGCUCCUAACUCCGUGGCCUUGGAAAAUUCCCUUCUCACAGAGCCUUGGGGAUACGAGGGGAUUAGCACAAUUAAAACAGUCAACAAAUGACUGCUCUUAUUACAGUCGGCGUCACUGUGAUUUUCCUAGCUACAAGGAACAGAAGUACGCAGCCUAUAGCCAGAGGAGAAGCAAACAGCUUCCCCCAAAGGCUGCUCAUGGAGCCCUGUCCCUGCAUCACUUUCUCCCAAGGGAACGUGGGCCUGCCUCCCAUCUACUUCCUGUUUCCAUACCCAGGAGGGGGGCUCUCUCGGCCACGAUAUUCGGAGCCUAAUGGGAUGUGCGGAAACAGCCCGCGACUCCCCUGGUUCGAGCCAGGCUGUGCCCACAGAACCAUCUCCUCCCCGUCCCGGUCCCCCGCGUGGAGGUCACAACAUACCCCUGCCGGCCUCACCAGCUGUCCUGAAGGUCCAGCGUCACGGGGCGCAGUUCCCCGAGCUGCAGUCACGCAGACGCCCCCUUUCGUAUUUUUGCCACAUCUGCAAACCGUCACAAUAGUUUUACAUUUAACACGAGUCACUGGCAGUAGGUACGUACAAAUCGCUACCGUUCAUGAGAAACUCUAACACUGCUCGUGACGAGGAGACCAAGGUGAGAAAAAGCAGAGCGAGCCCCAGGCGGUGUGAUUACCGUCCCCCUGGUACCGUGGCUUGCAAGGGCCUGGGCCUGAGGCCUGAGACCCGAGGGGAAGACGCAGGGACGCCAAAGGUGGGCAGCUGAAGGCUUCAGAAAGAGUUGUGCAGCAAGGGACGCGGGAGGCUGGCUUUAUCAGCUUGGUUCCCGGGGCCCUGGAAAGUUCACUCUGUCGGGACAGCCCCCGGCCCCCAGCUUCUUACUGAAAGCUUCAAGCUGUCAGGCCCGGCACGUUCUCUCGCAGGGCUGGUGGGAGAGUGGUGUGGACAGGCUGUGAGCUGCCCAGGACCCCGAAGGUGGGUUGUUGGAAUCAUUCCCCAGCUAAAUGCAGUUUGGGAAGAGUUCCUACAGGAGAAUUCCAUAUUAGAGAAAGGCAUUUCUUUGGCUGGGAAUACCUCAGGAUGGGGCUGUCCCUCUCAGGAGGCCGUGGGGACUGAGCUGCUCCAAGUGGCAGACCAGAGACAGAGACUCUUGAUUCGGGCCAAAUUUCAGAUUUCUGAUAGAGGCACAGGAGAUACUUUUUUUUUUCUUUUUUUUAAGGAAGUGUGUGGUUUUUUGCUCUCUGCUAAGGAGAGGAUACCCACCGCCUCCCCUCUUAAGCCUUCAGAUAUCUCUGAAAGUAUACGUCAUGCACCACAUGUCGCCACAUAUCAAGGCCACCACAGUAGACAUCCAGCAACGCAGGAAGGUCCUCUGGGGGUUCCCCGAGAACUUGGCGGGGCAGGAGGGACCGAGGGAGCUCUGCCUGCUCACUCGGAGGUUCCCACCCAAGCCCGCUCUCAAUAGAAAAACAAUUUGUCUCCAUGGCCAUUCAUUCAUCCACCAAAUGGCAUUCCCUGGGGCCCAGUAUCACGUACAAAGACCGCAGCAAGGCCCAAGGACACCCCUAAACCCACAAAUGUGGGUGCUCUCCCCAGGGAACUGGAUACUAACCCAGUCAGACCCAGAUGCCAUUUGCAGCCUGACCCCAGAAAGAAACAGAUUGAGGAAAACAAUUCAGCCAUUCAACCAAUGCUUAAUGAGCGUCUACACGGGGGAACCUACCUUCAGUGGUGAGCCCAGCCAGCCGGGUCCCUUCCCUCACAGGUGGUCCACACAGCCCACAAGUGGAGGAGGUCGGAAAAGAGAAUCGCACACCACGUGUGACACAGGAUUAGAAAGUGGACACAGCAUGUGUGAGGACGUUGACCAGGGCGUCCUGAUGUUUGAGGCGGUGGAGGAGGGCUUCCCAGAAAAAGCAGCCUUUUGAGUAGGCACGGAGCACUGGGAGAGGAGUCAGCAGGGGGCGUGAGGGGGAGCACCCCCUAAGAGUCCAGAGGUGGUGGGCACUGGAGAAGAGGAAGAGGUCCUUGUGAUCUUCAGUGAGGGUUUGGGAAUUUAGCCGGAAGGAGGGUGAGCGCUUUCAGGCUCGUAAGCAAGCGUGGAGGCGAUAGGAGCGUUCCGGAAGGAUGUCUGAGAAGGAUGGCUGGGGAGUCGGGAGGAGCCGGAGCAGGAAGUCCACACAAGUACCCUGAAGGUGCCGUCUGGCUGGAAUGAGCAGCGGGUAAAGGUGGGGAUGGGGCCACCGUAUCGGGUGAGUUCGGGCUGCUCUGCAAAGACAGAAGCGGCCUGCCCAGAGCAGGGCUGGUGGGAGAUGCGAGGGGCUAACGGAGAAGGGGUUUCUCUUGGGGGUGAGGACGUGGUCUAAAAUUAAUUGCGACAGUGGUGGCACAACUUUGUGAACAUAUUAAAAACCAUUUCGUCGUACGUUUAAAUUGGGGGGGGGGGGGCGUGUGGAUUACAUCUCAACAAAGCUGGUUU